rnacentral:rRNA from 1 species
CAGCCGCCGCGGGAAUACGAAGGGGGCUAGCGUUGUUCGGAAUCACUGGGCGUAAAGCGCACGUAGGCGGAUUUUUAAGUCAGGGGUGAAAUCCCGAGGCUCAACCUCGGAACUGCCUUUGAUACUGGGAAUCUGGAGUCCGGGAGAGGUGAGCGGAACUGCGAGUGUAGAGGUGAAAUUCGUAGAUAUUCGCAAGAACACCAGUGGCGAAGGCGACUCUCUGGUCUGUAACUGACGCUGAGGAGCGAAAGCGUGGGGAGCGAACAGGAUUAGAGACCCCGGUAGUCCCUGUCUCUUAUAC